UUAAGAGCUGCCAAAUGUAGCUUCAUCUUACAAGUUACAUGCCAUUUAACUAUAUCUUCUUCAUUCAUUAACUUGGUAGAGAUCAGAAAGCACUCAUCGAUUCCAGCGCAAGGGUUCAGGGUAUCACCUAGUCGGGAAAUCCCGACUAGCGCCUCCUACUUGUUUCCAUUGUGUUAAUUUUAUUGUAAUAUUAUGUUCACUUUGUUUCAGGCACAAUAACCCUUUUAUUUAUAACAAGGGUUUUCGCAGACAAUAUUCGACAAAAUGCAGGGAUGUGGUCUAUUGAUCCACAGGCUUUUCUUAUGUACAAUCAAAUAAGUAACAAACACCCAAGUCAAUAUAGAAAACUGUACUGGUAUCCGACUAGAAUUCCAACAAUGCCCACCAAAAAACAACGUGUGGGAAAAUUUUUAGUUACGCAUGGAUAUACCAAUGUACGGGAACAUAGUCCGUAUAAUGGACUCCAAAUAAGGAACCCGUUUAAAAAUACCUACGAUGGUUAUUUGUCACCGCAAGUUCUGAGAACAUAUUUAAGAUCUGCUAAAUUACCUUCGACAUCAGCACCAAAGACAACAGUAAAUACAAAUUUAAAAACUAUUCAUUCAGACCAUAAAAGCCUAACAAAUUGUAAUGAACUAACUAAUUUAACAUUACCUGUGAACAGAGAUAACACAAACGUUUCGAAUUAUUUUAAGGCUGCCGAAAGUAUUCCAAACAUUAUGCCACAAAAUAACGCGACAUAUGAACCAUUCGUAGCACAUACGUACUUUACUCUCGAUGAUGUCAUUGUUCCUUAUUCACCCGAAAACUUCAAAUAUAAAGCAUAUCCGGAAUAUGUGGACGAAAAUAAAUCGCAACCACAGGUCAUCGCUGAAGACAAAAUAUUUGCAAAUAAGUUAACUGUCAAGAUGCAGGAUGAUGAUUUUCAUAAAUUUGAGCCAAUAAAAUCCACUGAAACUAUUAUUAAAACAACAACUGCAAGACUUCCACAUGUCAAGAUGCUGGAUGAUGAUAUUCAUCAAUUUGAGCCAAUAAAACCUACUGAACCUAUUAUUGAAACAACAAGUGCGGGACUUGCACAUGUCAAGAUGUUGUAUGAUGAUAUUCUCAAAUUUGAGCCAAUAAAAUCCACUGAAACUAUUAUUGAAACAACAACUGCGGAACUUCAACAUUCAAAUUUUCUUACAAAAACCGAAAGGGACAUACCCAAAGAAAUUGUUGAUUUGACAACAUUAAAUCAUGCAGGAGCAACAAAUAUACCGAAUAAAAUAUUAAAUAAGACAAGCAGUAUCUCAAAAAUAAAUUUAUCAUCCCGAGUGAAACCUAGGCUACAUACCUUUAAUAAAAAAAAGUGCGAUAACUGCAGGAAAAGCCAGUUAAGCAGUGAGAAUAAAUCAUUAAGCAACAUCACGCAUUACAAUGAAAAGAUAUUAAAUAAUCUUACGACAAAAAACGCAUCAACAAUUUUAAAAAAGGAUGACCGUUUAGAUAAUAAAUUCGUUUCCCUUAGAAUUAAAAAAGCACAAAACCAAAAAAAUAUCGGGUCUCUUAAUUCCAAGUCCAUUAGCACUACCGAGUCUACGCAAUUUAAAAAUAUAAAUAAAACAAAGCAUUUUUAUUUAAGACGUCGAAAAUUACAUGCAAAUGCAACAGUAUUGAAUGCAAAUGCAACAGUAUUAAAUGCAUCGAAUUUUACACAAGCAAAUACUAAAAGCUCAAAAAAGAUAGAGCCCCAAAUAGAGGAAAACCAAUACAACUUUACCGAUAGGCGAAAAUUACGCAACGCACAGCUAUUUAAUGCAAGCACUAGCGUAAUUUUGGGUCGUUCAAACGCGGUUAACGAAGUUACAGCGCUUGCAGAAGAAUCUGCUAUUAUGACAAUAUCAAAUAAUAAUGGUAAAAGUAACAGAAAGUUACAUUUAUUAGAUGCCCCGAUUGUAAACCAUUCGAACUUCGUCCAUACUACUGAUUUACCAAAACUCCCAAUCGAAGUUUAUUUUACGAAACUUAACCAAAACUAAUUUGACCGGAAAUACUAUACACAACAAAUUAACCAAUAUGUA